rnacentral:rRNA from 1 species
UGAAACUCAAAGGAAUUGACGGGGGCCCGCACAAGCGGUGGAGUAUGUGGUUUAAUUCGAUGCAACGCGAAGAACCUUACCAGGGUUUGACAUCCUGCGAACCUCUAAGAAAUUGGAGGGUGCCUUCGGGAACGCAGUGACAGGUGGUGCAUGGCUGUCGUCAGCUCGUGUCGUGAGAUGUUGGGUUAAGUCCCGCAACGAGCGCAACCCACGUUUUUAGUUGCCAGCAUUCAGUUGGGCACUCUAGAGAGACCGCCGGUGAUAAACCGGAGGAAGGUGUGGAUGACGUCAAGUCAUCAUGCCCCUUACAUCCUGGGCUACACACGUACUACAAUGCUACGGACAAAGGGCAGCAAACUCGCGAGAGCAAGCAAAUCCCAUAAACCGUGGCUCAGUUCAGAUCGUAGGCUGCAACUCGCCUACGUGAAGGAGGAAUCGCUAGUAAUCGCAGGUCAGCAUACUGCGGUGAAUACGUUCCCGGGCCUUGUACACACCGCCCGUCACACCAUGGAAGUUGGCCACGCCCGAAGUCGUUACUCC